rnacentral:rRNA from 1 species
AGUGAACGCUGGCGGUAUGCCUAACACAUGCAAGUCGAACGGCAGCACAGUAAGUGCUUGCUCUUACGGGUGGCGAGUGGCGGACGGGUGAGAUAUGAAUCGGAAUCUACUUUUUGGUGGGGGAGAACGUAGGGAAACUUACGCUAAUACCGCAUACGACCUACGGGUGAGAGCCGGGGAGCUUCGGACCUUGCGCGAUUGAAUGAGCCGAUGUCGGAUUAGCUAGUUGGCGGGGUAAAGGCCCACCAAGGCGACGAUCCGUAGCUGGUCUGAGAGGAUGACCAGCCACACUGGAACUGAGACACGGUCCAGACUCCUACGGGAGGCAGCAGUGGGGAAUAUUGGACAAUGGGCGCAAGCCUGAUCCAGCCAUACCGCGUGGGUGAAGAAGGCCUUCGGGUUGUAAAGCCCUUUUGUUGGGAAAGAAAAGCAGCAGGUUAAUACCCCGCUGUUCUGACGGUACCCAAAGAAUAAGCACCGGCUAACUUCGUG